GUGGGGAAUAUUGCACAAUGGGGGGAACCCUGAUGCAGCAACGCCGCGUGAGUGAAGAAGUAUUUCGGUAUGUAAAGCUCUAUCAGCAGGGAAGAUAAUGACGGUACCUGACUAAGAAGCACCGGCUAAAUACGUGCCAGCAGCCGCGGUAAUACGUAUGGUGCAAGCGUUAUCCGGAUUUACUGGGUGUAAAGGGAGCGCAGGCGGUGCGGCGAGUCUGAUGUGAAAGCCCGGGGCUCAACCCCGGUACUGCAUUGGAAACUGUCGUACUAGGGUGUCGGAGGGGUAAGUGGAAUUCCUGGUGUAGCGGUGAAAUGCGUAGAUAUUAGGAGGAACACCAGUGGCGAAGGCGGCUUACUGGACGAUAACUGACGCUGAGGCUCGAAAGCGUGGGGAGCAAACAGGAUUAGAUACCCUAGUAGUCC
rnacentral:rRNA from 1 species